AUGGAUCUAUCGUUGAGCCCAUCGGUCUUGGCGUCUACAUCGUCUACGUCCGAGCUGCCGGACGGGGUAGUCCUAGUCCCCGCUCCCGAUCCGCUCGUCCACGUCGCCUUCAACCACCAUGGCACGCACUUCGUCGCGGCCACGGCCACCGGCUUCCACGUAUUCUCCUGCCACCCUCUCGACAGCGUCAUGCACCGGCGCAGCAGCGAGCUCAAUGUGACCUCCGCCCAGCUGCUCACGCGGUCGCAGCUGGCCCUCGCGACGCGGAGGCCCAACGCCGUCAGCGGCGCGGCCGACGACCACGUCAUUGACUUCUGGAACGGCAUGUGCAAGCCCAAGGACGCCAGGACCAACACCGUCAGGAGCCCGUGCGGCGCCGUGGGCGGGUUCCGCCUGCGCGGGGACCACAUGCUCGUCGCCGGCGAGGGGACGGCCACGCUGUUCGACGGCGUCCACUGGGAGAAAGAGGUGACGACGGGGCCGAACCCGCUGGGGCUGUGCGCCAUGGAGGAGCCGAAUGGGCCCGCGACGCUCGUCUACGCCCUGCCGCUGCCGGAGGCGGGAUCGGUACAGGUCCGCCGGCGCGGCAGGGCCGGCAGCGUCAGCGUGCGCGCGCACGGCUCGGGCGUGGCGUGCAUCGCGCUGUCCCCCGACGGACGGCUGCUCGCCACCGCCGGCACACGCGGCACGCUCCUGCGCAUCUUCAGCACCGCCGACGGCACCAAGCUGCAAGAGCUGAGGAGAGGCACCGAAGGAGCAGACAUCCACUGCAUCGCCUUCUCCCACGACUCCAAAUGGUUAGCGGUGUCCAGCGACAAGGCAACGGUGCACGUUUUCAGCAUCAAUGACUUCAACCUCACAAGCUCCACGCCGGAGGACGACUACGCCGGCGAUGACCUUCUGGCGGCACCAUCAGCACCAUCUUCUCCUGCAUCAGCAAAAGCCAACAAGGGCUCAUCACGCAUGUCAUUCUUGAAAGGCUACCUGCCGACGUAUUUCAGCUCGAAGUGGUCGUUUGCCCAGUUCCGGAUCCCUACCGCCUGGACCAAGUGCUCCGUGGCAUUCGACCGGAGACACCCCAACACCAUUACCAUUGUCUGCAUGGACAAAAGGUUCUACCGCUGCGAGUUCGACCCGGUGAAAGGAGGCGACAUGGUGCCGGGGGUGUACCACGAGAACUUCAUGGACCUGUGA
rnacentral:rRNA from 1 species